GCUGGGCAUGGUGGCACGUGCCUGUAAUCCCAGCUACUCAGGAGGCUGAGGCAGGAGAAUUGCUUGAACCCAGGAGGUGGAGGUUGCGGUGAGCUGAGAUUGCGCCAUUGCACUCCAGCCUGGGUAACAAGAGUGAAACUCUGUCUCAAAAAAAAAAAUUUUUUUUGACAGGGUCUCACUCUGUUGCCUAAGCCGGAGUGCAGUGGCACAAUCUCAGCUCACCGCAACCUCUGCCUCCCAGAUUCAAGCAAUUCUCAUGCCUCAU
rnacentral:SRP_RNA from 1 species